AUGGAAGCCUGCUACCCGAGGGAUCUCUUUCCCUGCCUGGAGCCGGCUGUGGCCCAUCUACAAGAUAGUACCACCUCGCUUCCCUGGAUCAAUCGGCGCCUCACCUCGACUAUAUAUACGCCGCAUCACUCGUUCCCCUUCCACACCAGUCGACCGAAUCCGUGGGGCUCACCAGAAGACGCGGGCUCAGCAGACCGCCAUCCCCAGCCGACCCUCUCCCGAGUCGACGCCCAAGGUGCGAUGGCCUCCAAGCCUGAGAUCCCCUGGACAGUUGUGGCUGAGUGGAAGUAUGCCAGGGUUCGCAAGCAGCUGGCCAAUGGCUCUGCCAGCGACGAGUCUGAUGAUCUAGAGAAAGAGCAUGGACUGACAGGAAUUAAGGGAAGUGUUUCGUAUCGCCAGCCGUAUGUUCUAUAUGUUGAUGACGAGGUGACAACGAUUGAAGUCCCCUGGCUCUCGAAAGGUACUCGUCGUCAGCGGAAGAAGCUGGCGGCAGCUAGGAAGUGCCUUGUCGAGACCAAACAUGGCGUCGGUUAUUAUGUCUUUGGCUCUUACGUCUGA
rnacentral:rRNA from 1 species